rnacentral:rRNA from 1 species
AUUGAACGCUGGCGGCAGGCCUAACACAUGCAAGUCGAACGAGUGGCGGACGGGUGAGUAAUGUCUGGGAAACUGCCCGAUGGAGGGGGAUAACUACUGGAAACGGUAGCUAAUACCGCAUACCAUCGGAUGUGCCCAGAUGGGAUUAGCUAGUAGGUGGGGUAACGGCUCACCUGGGCGACGAUCCCUAGCUGGUCUGCGGGGAUGACCAGCCAAACUGGAACGGAGACACGGUCCAGAGUCCUAAGGGAGGCAGCAGUGGGGAAUAUUGCACAAGGGGCGCAAUCCGGAUGCGACCAUGCGGCGGGUAUGAAGAAGGCCUUCGGGUUGUAAAGUACUUUCAGCGAGGAGGCGUUACUCGAAGAAGAAGCACCGGCUAACUCCGUGCCAGCAGCCGCGGUAAUAC